UCCCACGUGGUCUAGUGGCUAGGAUAUCUAGCUUUCACCCAGAAGGCCCAGGUUCGAUUCCCGGCGUGGGAA
rnacentral:tRNA from 1 species